rnacentral:rRNA from 1 species
GAACGCGAAGAACCUUACCCGGGCUUGAACCAAGAGUGCGGAGUGCAGAGAUGCGCUUUUUCUUCGGACACUUUUGGAGGUGCUGCAUGGUUGUCGUCAGCUCGUGCCGUGAGGUGUCGGCUUAAGUGCCAUAACGAGCGCAACCCUUUUCUACGUUUGCCAUCGGGUAAUGCCGGGAACUCCGUGGAUACUGCCGCCGCAAGGCGGAGGAAGGUGGGGAUGACGUCAAAUCAGCACGGCCCUUACGUCCGGGGCUACACACGUGUUACAAUGGUCGGAGCAGCAGGAAGCUACCUGGCGACAGGAUGCUGAUCCCAAAACCCGGCCUCAGUUCGGACUGGAGUCUGCAACCCGACUCCACGAAGCCGGAUUCGCUAGUAAUCGCGCAUCAGCCAUGGCGCGGUGAAUACGUUCCCGGGUCUUGUACACACC